AUGAACUGGAGGAGGAGGAUGAGUAAAGGAGAAGCUGCUGGAUCGAGAAAGGAUGGGAGAAAAUACACAAGCUGGUGCAGGCUGCCCAUUAACUCUUCUAAAACAAUAAUGUGGGAUCAGUACAAUUAUUGUGUGAUGGGGUAUGCAUACUUAUUGUGUGGUGGGGCAUUCACACUUAUUGAUGUGUCAUACAUUGACUAUGCAAUAUUGAUAUACAGUGCCAAGAAAUCAAUAUACAUGACUUGUUGUACAAAUACUGCACUGAUCUAUGCGCAGCGAACGGAUGAGAUACCAUCCUCGCGUGGUCGCAUGUCCACCCGUGAUUUAUCGCUAAUAUCCCAUCUUAAAGUAUGA
rnacentral:rRNA from 1 species